rnacentral:rRNA from 1 species
UCGAAGGCGACAAGGUGGUUGGCACUGGCUCGUGUUAAUACCAGAAAAACCUUCCAGUGCGAUGCUUUUAAGGACACCAUGAAGUCCGUGUGGCGGCUGGCGUAUGAUCCGGAGUUCCGUGAGGUAGACGACAACUUGUUUGUAAUCCAGUUUUUUUGUCUAGGCGACUGGAACCACGUCAUGCAUCAGGGCCCGUGGAUCUUUAGAGGUAUCAUGGUGGUGAUUGAGGAGCAGGAUGGGAAGAAGAAACCAGACAUGGUAAAACUGAACCACACACAUGUAUGGGCGCAGAACCACGACCUCCCAGAUUUGUAACGUUCCCAACCCAUUGCGGGUUGGUUAGGUCAUCGGAUUGGACUUGUUAAAAGCGUUGAGAUGAACUGUAGUAGGGUGUAUGAAGGAAACUAUGUACCUGUCCGGUCUAAGAUUGAUGUUACCGAACCCCUAGUGAGAUUUGCACAGUUGAACAUUAAUGGGAAGGAGAGGAUCUUCUUGCCCAUCAAGUACGAGAAGAUAGGGUUCUUUUAUGAGGUUUGCAGCAUUCGAGGGCAAUGUUAA